rnacentral:rRNA from 1 species
AGUGAACGCUGGCGGUAGGCCUAACGCAUGCAAGUCGAACGGCAGCACAGUAAGAGCUUGCCCUUACGGGUGGCGAGUGGCGGACGGGUGAGGAAUACAUCGGAAUCUACUUUUUCGUGGGGGAUAACGUAGGGAAACUUACGCUAAUACCGCAUACGACCUACGGGUGAAAGCAGGGGAUCUUCGGACCUUGCGCGAUUGAAUGAGCCGAUGUCGGAUUAGCUAGUUGGCGGGGUAAAGGCCCACCAAGGCGACGAUCCGUAGCUGGUCUGAGAGGAUGAUCAGCCACACUGGAACUGAGACACGGUCCAGACUCCUACGGGAGGCAGCAGUGGGGAAUAUUGGACAAUGGGCGCAAGCCUGAUCCAGCCAUACCGCGUGGGUGAAGAAGGCCUUCGGGUUGUAAAGCCCUUUUGUUGGGAAAGAAAAGCAGCAGGUUAAUACCCCGCUGUUCUGACGGUACCCAAAGAAUAAGCACCGGCUAACUUCGUG